GAUGAACGCUGGCGGCGUGCCUAAUACAUGCAAGUAGAACGCUGAAGGAGGAGCUUGCUCUUCUGGAUGAGUUGCGAACGGGUGAGUAACGCGUAGGUAACCUGCCUGGUAGCGGGGGAUAACUACUGGAAACGAUAGCUAAUACCGCAUGACACCAGUUAUUGCAUGAUAACUGUUUAAAAGGGGCAACUGCUCCACUACCAGAUGGACCUGCGUUGUAUUAGCUAGUUGGUGAGGUAACGGCUCACCAAGGCGACGAUACAUAGCCGACCUGAGAGGGUGAUCGACCACACUGGCACUGAGACACGGCCCCGACUCCUACGGGUGGCAGCAGUAGGGAAUCUUCGGCAAUGGACGGGAGUCUGACCGUGCAACGCCGCGUGAGUGAAGAAGGUUUUCGGAUCCUAAAGCUCUGUUGUAAGUGAAGAACGAGUGUGAGAGUGGAAAGUUCGCACUGUAACGGUAUCUUACCAGAAGGGGACGGCUAACUACGU
rnacentral:rRNA from 1 species